rnacentral:lncRNA from 1 species
UAUACUAAAGAUAUUAUUUAUCAAUUUCAGAAAAAUUUCGUUAGUCCAUAUAAUGACACGAUAAUCGCGAGAACGAGAUUUAUACCACAAAAUAUCUUAUACAUAUUUAUUUCUUAAAAUAUCUAUUAAAAGUCAAAGAAAGACUUUUGUUUAGAGGUUCAAUCAUGCUUCUCUUGGAAGCUACUCUUCACUCUUCUCUACCUGUCAAACUAUAGCACACACAUACUUAAAAGUCUAGACUAUUGCUUACACAUCUAGUCAAAAGGACAUAUACGAUUCAAAUUUUGGAGGAGUGUCUGGCCAGUUUGACAUAACUUGCACUCUUUAACAAACAAUUAAACCCAAAAAUAUACUGUCUCUUCAUACUCAAAAGAGGAUGCCAAGAAGAACAGAAAACCAAUAACCUCUUUCCCUUCAUCUUCAUUGUUUCCUGCCAAAGAACAACAAGAGGCCAUCAGCCUCUUCUCUUGGUUCUUCCAUUUGCAAAACCUGUCAGAUAGAAACAAUAAAAAUCAACCCACAAAAUGUAUUUUUUCUAUAUGUGAAAUCAAAGAGGUAGGAGCCUCUUGGCUGCUGAUUGGAGCAAGCCAAAUACCCUGAGGUCAUCAUAGUUGCUGUUGGCUUCUCCCUUCCCUUUUGCGUUUUGCUGCUGAACCAAAGAAGGAACAGCCAAGAGCCGUCGGAGCAGCUCUCGCUGCCUUAAGCUGCAGACAACGACUUUGCUGCCAACCCCCGCUUUCUGCCUCCCUAUUACCUUCGUGAAUCACCACCGAAGAGCCGACUCUUUCCCUUCUUCCUUCUUCAGUCCGAUUGAGCACCGGUGGUACUCCCUUCGAUCGGCGACAGUCGCCGCCUCCACUCCCUGGUUCCAUUCGCAGAUCGUCUCCGGAGAUCCCUUCUCCCUUCGUUUUCCUUUUCUGCCGGGAAUGAUUCAUCGGAGACGAGAAAGGCUCACCGGAAUUUGAUGUUGGCCAUCAGUUUAUGCAUCUGUUUCCGUUUCACUUCNNAACCUAAUGAACGAAUUAUGAAGACGCGUCCCAUUUGUCCAUCUGAUGGACUUGACACAAACAGUCCCUGUAUUUACUCCUUUAAAUUAAAACCGACCCCUUUGACAUAAAUCCUUUCAAGGAAAAUCAUGUUGACUUAGUCUUUACAAAAUAGUCCUUAUGCUAUUUUUGAAAGAUCAAAAAAUAGUCCCUUUUGGUUUAAUUCAAUACAAAAAGAAAUUCUUUGAGUUUGAUAUUUUACCAAACAAACCCGGAAAUGUUUUAAAGUCCAAUAGUGGUCAAAUGGCGCUUUCUCACGACAAGAUUCACGAAGCGAGCUUAGAUCGAGAUCACGCAUCGAAUGUGAGUUUCUACGGCCCCUCUUUUGCUGUUUUAAUAUUUGGGGGAGAAUACAUGAGUGUCUAUUUAAAGUUUGAUGAUUUUCAAGUCUUAUACAUAAAAUGACAUCAUACUUUAUUAUUGGUUCAGAGUUAUGAAAAUAACAAUUUAAAAGGUAUAAAGCAUUAAUAAAUUAUAUAAGUUAUAUUAGAAUGCUAUAAAUGAUAUAAUUAUACCUUGUUGUGAUAUAUUAAUUAAUAUUAAUAAAAAUC